AAAGAACAGAAAUUUUAAGAAGAUUUCAAUUACUGACAUAAAAUACUAAAACAUGAAUAUUAUUACACCACAACUAUUUUAAACUUGAUUAAAAAAAAUUAAACAUCAGGGAAAAUAAUAAAUAAACUUCAUCAAACAUUGAGGUUGAAGAACAUUUAAUAUUGAGAAAAAUACCAAAAUUCAAAUCAAAGCUACUGUUUUUUCGAAAAAGAAAAAAAGGAUAUAAAUAAAAUAAAAUAAAAAAUAAAAAUCAGAAAAAUGAAGAAGAAUAUUCGGGCAUUACAGGCAGCAGAAAUAUGAGUAAUUGAAUUUAAUUUUAAGCUGCAAAGCGGAUCCCAAUUUCAAUAUCUGCACAAUUAAAAAAUAGGCUUCCGCAGAAAUUUACUUUCCACAGAGCCUCAGUACUAUGCAUUUUCUUCUCUUGUUAUAAUUAGUACACAAUUAUACAUACAUUAUACAUACAACGUAAAAGAUGGAAUACAGAGUGAGUUUAUGUGGUCGGAGGUAGGCGGAAGGAA
rnacentral:lncRNA from 1 species